rnacentral:rRNA from 1 species
UACGUAGGGUGCGAGCGUUGUCCGGAAUUACUGGGCGUAAAGAGCUCGUAGGUGGUUUGUCGCGUUGUUCGUGAAAACCUGAGGCUUAACCCCGGGUCUGCAUUCGAUACGGGCAGGCUAGAGUGUGGUAGGGGAGAUCGGAAUUCCUGGUGUAGCGGUGAAAUGCGCAGAUAUCAGGAGGAACACCGAUUGCGAAGGCAGCUCGCUGGGACGUUACUGACGCUGAGACGCGAAAGCGUGGGGAGCAAACAGG